UACGUAGGGGGCAAGCGUUGUCCGGAAUCAUUGGGCGUAAAGCGCGCGUAGGCGGCCCGGUAAGUCCGCUGUGAAAGUCAAAGGCUCAACCUUUGAAUGUCAGCGGAUACUGCCGGGCUAGAGUCCGGAAGAGGCGAGUGGAACUCCUGGUGUAGCGGUGGAAUGCGCAGAUAUCAGGAAGAACACCAACGGCGAAGGCAGCUCGCUGGGACGGAACUGACGCUGAGGCGCGAAAAGCGUGGGGAGCGAACAGG
rnacentral:rRNA from 1 species